rnacentral:pre_miRNA from 1 species
AGCUGGUGUUGUGAAUCAGGCCGUAAGUACUACCUCUCGGCCUUUUCACAGCACCAGGUGU